rnacentral:rRNA from 1 species
UGGCUCAGGACGAACGCUGGCGGCGUGCCUAAUACAUGCAAGUGGAACGCAGUUAGUUCACCGGAGCUUGCUCCAUCGAAUUGACUGAGUCGCGAACGGGUGAGUAACGCGUAGGUAACCUGCCUGAUAGCGGGGGAUAACUAUUGGAAACGAUAGCUAAUACCGCAUAACAGUAUUUACUGCAUGGUAGAUACUUAAAAGGAGCAAUUGCUUCACUAUCAGAUGGACCUGCGUUGUAUUAGCUAGUAGGUAGGGUAACGGCCUACCUAGGCAUCGAUACAUAGCCGACCUGAGAGGGUGAUCGGCCACACUGGGACUGAGACACGGCCCAGACUCCUACGGGAGGCAGCAGUAGGGAAUCUUCGGCAAUGGGGGCAACCCUGACCGAGCAACGCCGCGUGAGUGAAGAAGGUUUUCGGAUCGUAAAGCUCUGUUGUAAGAGAAGAACGUUAGUGGGAGUGGAAAAUCCAUUAAG